GGAUUGUGGCUUAGUGGUAGAGUGCUCGCCUAGCAUGCAUGAGGCACUGGGUUCGAUCCUCAGCGCCA
rnacentral:tRNA from 1 species